AUGGACGCAACUUCGUUGUCCGACUUCACCUGAGCGCACCAAUGACUUUAGUUUGAUCUGUUGAUCAUAUUUCCUUUAGAUUUGAAGAAUCUUUGAAGACGUUUCCUGAUGACGGAGGAGAAGAUGAGUAGCUUUGUACCUCUGCGAGGGAAAGUAGCAGUUCCUCCUUAAGGUCAGAGAUUGCAGCAUCUGAGGGCCUCUUCAAAAGAAGACGGAGUUGAUGAAGAUGUUCUGGAGCAGAAAGACCACGACCAAGCAGCCUGGAGAUGUUAGGCAGCGUCUCCCUCAGUUCAAAGGUCCCUCUCUGUCUUCCCACACAUCCACCAACCACUGGAACACAUCUCCAAAGUUCUGCUGAAGCUCAGCUUCCCCUCAGAAGAAGUGCCGCCAGAUGAAGGAGCCUUUUGAGAGGCAGCUGGCAUCGUGAUUGGACGGUACUUUGGUCUGAUCCAAUCCAGCUUCAGCUCCAGAGACGACAGGCAGGACGAGUCAACGGAGGCCGAGUGGACGAAGGCAUGAAGCUGAGAACAAUCCAGAAAACACCA